rnacentral:tRNA from 1 species
UAGGAAGUGGUGUAGUGGCAGCACGAAGAGUUUUGAUCUCUUUGGGUAGGGUUCGACCCCCUUCUUUCUAA